UACGGGGGGUGCGAGCGUUGUCCGGAAUCACUGGGCGUAAAGGGCGCGUAGGUGGCGCGACAAGUCAACGGUGAAAGCUCGGCGCUCAACGCCGAGUCGGCCGUCGAUACUGUCGGGCUGGAGCACUGUAGAGGCAGAUGGAAUUCCGGGUGUAGCGGUGGAAUGCGUAGAGAUCCGGAAGAACACCGGUGGCGAAGGCGGUCUGCUGGGCAGUAGCUGACACUGAGGCGCGACAGCGUGGGGAUCAAACAGG
rnacentral:rRNA from 1 species